UUCCUUUUUUCCUGUUUCAGGUGGUGGUUGACCUGUGCUAUUCAUCUUUGUGAGGCCCUGGUUGCACUGAAGUUGUGCAGUAACAAAGGCAUCAAGGACAUGUCCACUCGGUGCCUGUGGUUUAUCCAGACCUUUCUGUUCGGCUUCGCCUCCCUCCACCUGCUAAUUAAGUACGACCCAGAGCGUUCCAAGCAGGACUGACCUUACCAGGAGAGGCCUACAGAACAACACAUCUGAGUCUAGAGACCCCUUCUUGGGCCCUCAAGUCUUUCCACUGUUCACUUUGAUUAUAAGAUCCUGCUGGAGAGCAUGAAAUGGAGCAAUACUCUUGAGCAGUUUCUUUAAUAGUGUCUUUUAAAAUAAUUCUAAAGACAUGGUGCAGUACAGGUGGGUUGGUUUUGGGGGGGGGGGUCCCUUUUUUCUCUGCUGCUUGGAUGAACGUGAUGCCUGACAGGUUUGCUGCAGAUGGUAUUUUGCCAUCAUCCUCAAAAGUGCUCUUGGAUUAUAUGAAGAGGGGAGAUGCUGUUAAAUUUGCCUUUCUCAGAUUAAAGUGCUGUGAUUCAUAGUCUUAAUGUUGACACUACAAAAUGAAGGAUGAGUGAACUGAA